UACGGAGGGUGCGAGCGUUGUCCGGAAUUAUUGGGCGUAAAGGGCUCGUAGGCGGUUCGUCACGUCGGGAGUGAAAACUCGGGGCUUAACCCCGAGCCUGCUUCCGAUACGGGCAGACUAGAGGUAGGCAGGGGAGAGCGGAACUCCUGGUGUAGCGGUGGAAUGCGCAGAUAUCAGGAAGAACACCGGUGGCGAAGGCGGCUCUCUGGGCCUUACCUGACGCUGAGGAGCGAAAGCGUGGGUAGCGAACAGG
rnacentral:rRNA from 1 species